rnacentral:rRNA from 2 species
GGGUUGUGAGGUUAAGCGACUAAGCGUACACGGUGGAUGCCCUGGCAGUCAGAGGCGAUGAAGGACGUGCUAAUCUGCGAAAAGCGUCGGUAAGGUGAUAUGAACCGUUAUAGCCGGCGAUGUCCGAAUGGGGAAACCCAGUGUGAUUCGUCACACUAUCGUUAACUGAAUACAUAGGUUAACGAGGCGAACCGGGGGAACUGAAACAUCUAAGUACCCCGAGGAAAAGA